AUGCAGCCACACAACAGUAGCUAGCUCAUGCAGAUUCAUUCAGAUGCACCAAUCGUGAGUGUGGAUCCAUGGCUGUGCUGUGCCCAACCCAAGGUACAGGUUACUUGUCACUGCAGGAGACGAAACGACUGAUCCUCUUUGGUCACAUGGCUCAAAGAAUUAUCAAAGGGCCAUGUGAUGUGCUUGUAGCUAACAUGCUAGCCGGUUCAUUCUAGAUGCAAUCACAAAUGCACAAAGCUCCUUAAAAAGGUAGUCAGCUUUUCUGAGAACACAAUUAAUACUGGGAAUGUUUGCUUCCAUGUCAAUGCAGUUGUAGGCGAAAUAGAGACACUCCCAUUCCUUCGUCACCCAUGGGGUCAAAAUAAUCGUGGCUUGUUCUCUCGCACGCUAGAAGCAGCAGCGUCGAAACCACUCCUCAAACAGCUACCACCUUUGAAUUAUUGCCGACAUCGUCAAUCGCACCUUAAGGAGACGCGUCCAUUGAGAUGGACAUGGUUCAAUUCAAGGCAGCACCGGUGCCGCUCCAUAGUAGCAAGUGACUCCUCAUCGACCAAGGAACAGAAGUAUACUUCCAGGAAGCAGCAAGCACCACUGACUGAAGACGUCCUCCCUCACCUUGCGAAGAAGUUGUUCGCCGAUGCAGCCAGUGGGAACACCGGAGGUUCAGGCAGUGCAUCGACCUAAAAAUGUUUUACCUUCUUGUAUCAAACUGACAUUAUUGUAUUAUUGAGUACAAUGAGAACAUAUAAAAAAGAUUGUAACAGGAUAUUAUUGUAUUAUUGAGUACA